GGCAGAGUGUGUGUGUGUCUGUGUGUGUGGGGGGUCAGUCUGUGGGUACAAAAGUGAAAUAAUCCCUUUGAGGUCCCAGUAGAGACUACAAUUGAGGGCUAAUGGGCCAUGGAGGGGGGUCUUUCAGCAGAGGCUAUCUCGGUGUCCUUUAUAGAGUGUGUAAGAAAGAAUCCCCUCCAGGCCCCAUUAGAGACUACAAUGGAGUCUUCCUAACAGAGGCCAUCUCAGCAUCCAUUAGAUAGCCUCUGCUGGAAACAGUCACCUCCAGGCCCCAGUAGAGACUACAAUGGAGUCUAAUGGGGCCUGGAGGGGGGUCUCUCCAACACUCUGGUUCCUAUUCACAAUAUAGCAACACAACAUAGCUCGCUGAUAUCUAGG